GGACAACAGUUGGAAACGACUGCUAAUACCGCAUAAGCCCACGGUGCUGCAUGGCACUGCGGGAAAAGGAUUUAUUCGCUUCAGGAUGGACUCGCGUCCAAUUAGCUAGUUGGUGAGGUAACGGCCCACCAAGGCGACGAUUGGUAGCUGGACUGAGAGGUUGAACGGCCACAUUGGGACUGAGACACGGCCCAGACUCCUACGGGAGGCAGCAGUGGGGGAUAUUGCACAAUGGGGGAAACCCUGAUGCAGCGACGCCGCGUGGAGGAAGAAGGUUUUCGGAUUGUAAACUCCUGUCGUUAGGGACGAUAAUGACGGUACCUAACAAGAAAGCACCGGCUAACUACGUGCCAGCAGCCGCGGUAAAACGUAGGGUGCAAGCGUUGUCCGGAAUUACUGGGUGUAAAGGGAGCGCAGGCGGACCGGCAAGUUGGAAGUGAAAACCAUGGGCUCAACCCGUGAAUUGCUUUCAAAACUGCUGGCCUUGAGUAGUGCAGAGGUAGGUGGAAUUCCCGGUGUAGCGGUGGAAUGCGUAGAUAUCGGGAGGAACACCAGUGGCGAAGGCGACCUACUGGGCACCAACUGACGCUGAGGCUCGAAAGCAUGGGUAGCAAACAGGAUUAGAUACCCUGGUAGUCCAUGCCGUAAACGAUGAUUACUAGGUGUUGGAGGAUUGACCCCUUCAGUGCCGCAGUUAACACAAUAAGUAAUCCACCUGGG
rnacentral:rRNA from 1 species